GGCUCCAUCUCCUACUCGUCUUCUUCGCCAUUUUAGUCUCCUGCUCGUCUUCUUCGCCAUUUUAGUCAAUUGGGUGUCUCCCUAAUUAUCGCCAAAAUCCUGAUUUCUUAGUUCUCUCCGAGGAAUAAGUAUUUGUGAUAGUUCUUGUUUCGUAUCUAAUUUGGAUUUCGAGCUCGCCGUUGAUGAGAGACUUAGGCUUCGUCAAUUGAGGGUUUCUUUGCCUUCUCUUUACUGGUUCAGUUCUGAGAUAAUCGAUGACAUUGGUUCCAGUGAUGGUGGUUCUAUAGGGGUUCUAUCAACUCCAUGGAAGCCAAUUCAGCGGCGAGAGAGUCCGAUAGCAAAGUUCGACCUGCAUUGAAGAAGCCGGAUAAUAGGGCUUGCAAAGAAUCGGGAAUUGCUGGGAAAGAUGGUGGUCCUUUUCUAUCAUUAAACAUACAUCCCUUCAUCCUUACUUCAACAAGAAACUUCCUCUUCCCCACUGGAAAGGCUCAGCUUAUGACUCCACUUCUGCUCAAGUAAGCUGCUUAAGUCACCCUCAACUAUGGAACUUCCAUUCACAUAGCAGAAGCUCUUACUUGCUAUAUUGCCUGUGAAAGAAGAGGCGCAAUAACAGGCCAUGAUAUUGAAAAGCGUUGGGGCUUUCAAGGUUAAACGCAAAGGCGGUAAAGGCAAACUAAUUUUUGGAUCUGUCACAGCACAAGAUGUCGUCGACAUCAUCAAAUCGCAGCUUCAAAGGAUAAUAGGGCUUGCAAAGAAUGGGAAAUUGCUGGGAAAGAUGGUGGUCCUUUUCUAUCAUUAAACAUACAUCCCUUCAUCUCUUACUUCAACAAAGUAAAGGCAAAGUGCGAUCGUGGAAUCAAGGCGAUGAAGAGGAGGAUGUUCUAGGGACUCGA